rnacentral:rRNA from 1 species
GAUGAACGCUGGCGGCGUGCCUAAUACAUGCAAGUCGAGCGAACGGACGAGAAGCUUGCUUGUCUGAUGUUAGCGGCGGACGGGUGAGUAACACGUGGAUAACCUACCUAUAAGACUGGGAUAACUUCGGGAAACCGGAGCUAAUACCGGAUAAUAUUUUGAACCGCAUGGUUCAAAAGUGAAAGACGGUCUUGCGGUCACUUAUAGAUGGAUCCGCGCUGCAUUAGCUAGUUGGUAAGGUAACUGCUUACCAAGGCAACGAUGCAUAGCCGACCUGAGAGGGUGAUCGGCCACCCUGGAACUGAGACACGUUCCCGACUCCUACGGGAGGCAGCAGUCCGGACUCUUCCGCAAUGGGCGAGAGCCUGACGGAGCACCGCCGCGUGAGUGAUGAAGGUCUUCGGCUCGUAAAGCUCUGUUAUUCGGGAAGAACAUAUGUGUAAGUAACUGUGCACAUCUUGACGGUACCUAAUCAGAAAGCCCCGGCUAACUACGUG